UACAGAGGUCUCAAGCGUUUGUUCGGAUUCAUUGGGCGUAAAGGGUGCGUAGGCGGCGCGGUAAGUCGGGUGUGAAAUCUCGGAGCUUAACUCCGAAACUGCAUUCGAUACUGCCGUGCUUGAGGACUGGAGAGGAGACUGGAAUUUACGGUGUAGCAGUGAAAUGCGUAGAGAUCGUAAGGAAGACCAGUGGCGAAGGCGGGUCUCUGGACAGUUCCUGACACUGAGGCACGAAGGCCAGGGGAGCAAACGGG
rnacentral:rRNA from 1 species